AAAUUAUACAGAUCUAAUUUUCAUUAAGCUGUAGACUACAAAUGUGAACAGCAUUUGCGACUGGGUGGUGUUAAUUUUAUAUUAUUUAUUAGCUUCAUAACAACAGAUUUUCUCGAGCACACUUCUUCAGUCGUAUUAAGUAACGUAAAAAGUGCUGAAAUGUCAGUCUGUUACAUUCAUUUCGAAAUAAUAAGCAAUUUAAAUUGCGUGCUUCAAAUAUUUAUCUAUAGAAUUACGUUUUCAAGGAGAGAAAGCAUGAUAUAGAUAAGAACUAUCCUACAAGAUAAAGAUAACGUCGACAUUCUUCUAUCAGUUCCAGAUAUAGACGUAAUUUGAUACAGAAUUUAUGAAGACCAGAUAUUGAUAUCACGUCUUGGCAUUCCUUGAAUUCCAAGAAUGACUACACCAAACUUUUCAGCUUGGGGUCAGCAAACGGAUAUUUAAGUUAGGAACGUAUUUGGGCUACAGAGAGAAAUUAAGUACGGAAUGGAGGUUCUUAAACAAGAAUUAUGUAACUGUCUUAACACACAGAAGGAUGACGUUUUGUGAGGCAGAUAGUCCCAUUUUUAACGUCGGUACAAGGUCGAGGAGAAUUGUCAGCUAUAGGCACUGGCUGCCUUUACCCACCAAAUGGAUUGGAGAAUAGUUGGCCCCAGAACCGUUUUGUUCCUGUUACAAUGGGGCGAGACUGUGUCUCUGUAGGACUGCAACUGCCAACGACUUUUUGUUCAGCCCCCAGAUGAUACACGAGUGAAUAUGAAGAAGCUGUGAAAUGAUGACAGGAGAAAACUGAAAAACUCAGAGAAAAACUUGUCCCAGUGCCACUUUGUCCACCAAAAAUUACACUGGAUUGCACUGAGUACAAACCUGGGUCUGCGUGGUGAUGAGCUAGCCUGCGACUAACUGCCUGAGCUAUGGCACAAAUUAUUUUGUGAAGACAGAGCAGGCUCAUAUUUACAACUGCCAAAUAAAUUCCCCACUUAAUGGUACCUGCACGUUGUCAUGGUGGUGGGGCUUGAGUACCUCAGUGAC